UGCGGGUAAGGGUGGUCCGGAGAGGAUUUGAAAUCCUUUCUUUCGUUUGAUUAACGAUGCCUGCUU
rnacentral:tRNA from 1 species